GUGGGGAAUUUUGGACAAUGGGCGCAAGCCUGAUCCAGCAAUGCCGCGUGAGUGAAGAAGGCCUUCGGGUUGUAAAGCUCUUUUGUCAGGGAAGAAACGGGCCUGGUUAAUACCUGGGCUUAAUGACGGUACCUGAAGAAUAAGCACCGGCUAACUACGUGCCAGCAGCCGCGGUAAUACGUAGGGUGCAAGCGUUAAUCGGAAUUACUGGGCGUAAAGCGUGCGCAGGCGGUUUUGUAAGUCUGACGUGAAAUCCCCGGGCUUAACCUGGGAAUUGCGUUGGAGACUGCAAGGCUGGAGUCUGGCAGAGGGGGGUAGAAUUCCACGUGUAGCAGUGAAAUGCGUAGAGAUGUGGAGGAACACCGAUGGCGAAGGCAGCCCCCUGGGUCAAGACUGACGCUCAUGCACGAAAGCGUGGGGAGCAAACAGG
rnacentral:rRNA from 1 species